ACCCAAUUCCCAAGUCAAAAUCAUCGGUCAUUUGCUAGGGUUCUCAACUUCUUGUCUCUUCGCCUCCACCACCACUCCAGUCCCUCAUUGUCGGUCGCCAGUCGUAUGUUCAAGCAAAGCGAAGGUCCUCUCGCCAUUUUUCUAUUGCUCCAUCACCAUGAUGUCUAAUGGCCGACUACAGUUCCAUCACUGUGAUUGGCCCAGCCUGGCUAUCUUCCCAUUAAGCCAUCAGCUGAUGGGGCUAAACCCCACCUCCAUUGCCAGCCCUGCUGCUGCCACCGUCUUUUUGAGCAACAUUGGUGGCUAUAAACUUCAACAUCGUCUUGCUCGUACCAUCAUCGGACUUCCUAGUUGCCACUGCUCCGUCUUCAUUCCAGUGCCGCUCUGAUGUUCGAGCCGGAGCCAGGCCAGCCAAUUCUCAAAAGUGGGACUGAUGGUGGCGGAUGUCAGAGGUUUGGCCGGGGCAAAGAAGGAGAAGUGCUCGGGCUUGGAGUCAAACUUAAGCAUGACCAUUCAAAGUUUCCUUCGUUCAGCAUGCUUAUUGAUUAUUCGUACACAAAAGCCAAAUUUGUUUUAGAAUAUCACAUGGAAGCCCUCCAUAGUCCGUAUGAACAAUUUUGAUCAAAUUCUUCUGUUAUUUGGUUGUUUUCCUAAGUUACUGCAUUUUGUUUCCAGGAACAAAGACUCCAACCUUCUGCGUGAUCCUUUCAAUUCUGCAGUACAAAAUAUGUUUCGCGAUAUGACUUGCAUCUCAGCUCCAGAUGGUGAAGUUCAGAUUCACCAAGAUGACACAUAUAAUUCUUAUUGUAAAUGUCUACUGCAUGUGAAGGCAGGCUUGACCAUCCAUAUGUUGUGAAAUUGGAGGGAUUGAUUACUUCUCAGACGGAUGGCUCCAUAGUAAGGAUUGGCAAGCUUAUUUUAAUUGAGGACAACCGAAAUGUCUAAGUUUAAAGCACCUUGGGUGACAAUUAUCUAUAACCCUUUCUUGAAGAAUAAUAAAGUAACAUCAUUUAUAGAGAAAAUUAUGAGUAAUGCUAACGAACUCUUGUUAUAUGCAUAUAAACAAUUCGCUCACUAUGUGAUGGAAGGGGAUUGAUGCAACUUAUAACUCAUUGGAUUUAUUUUCGAGCACGAGAUUGAUUGAUUAUAGAAUUGUCAAAUCAGAAAUGGUGGAUCCAAUGAUUUUUUUUGUGUAUGCAUAGCGGGUACCUUGAAGCAUUUUCUAAAAGUUAUAAAUCCAAUUAUUACAAGAUAAAGAGUAAUUAAGACAAUAUUACCAAUUUACUAUUUCACACUUCAAGAAAAUGAAGUUCAUGUGGCCUUCUUUAUAUUAUCCAUUUGUAUACCAGAAGCAAAUAAUAGCCUGGCGAAGUUGCCGUGAGGCAAGAAACAUACUAUAAGCUUUGCCUUCUCCAAUGACACACCCUUUUUUAAAUUCAGUUUCUUCUUACCAAAUCUUUCUGCAGGUUCUGAUCCUUGCAAUUAUAUGCAUUGCGCACGGUGAGAAAAACUUUAUUUCUUGAUGUAAUUUAAGCCAUCCUUCAAAAAAUUCUUCUAUUUACAUAUCACAUUUGAUAGCCAAUAUCAGAUAUUUGUUCUAUUUCAAUCAAUCAAUACAUGACAAAUAAUUUGCUUAAAUCCAAUGGCAAAAAUUACCUAAACCGUCAGUCGCAUUUUUUUUUUCUUUGGAGCGUUUUACGUGCUAUAGAUAUGCUUAAUGCAAGUUUAAAUAGUAUGCUUUAACAAUUAUUCAGAAAUAUAAAAUAAAAAAGAAAUUAUUCUCAAUUUGUUUGUGCCAAGAGUCCUUGGGAUUAGGGUUUUUUUUACUCCUAAUUAUAUAUUCUGAUCAUCCAAAAUCCUACUGCUGUCCUGGGAAAAGCUGUGGCCAUAAUUUGGAGAUGGAAAACUAUUUUCAAGAUGUUCUUAGAGUAUUUGAUUUAGUUUUUUCUGCUGGUUCUCAAGAUUUGCAAUAUCAUAGCAAGUCUUUCCGUGGUUUCAAGCUGUUUACCAUUUUGACAUUAGAUGACAAUCCUCGUUGCAUUCUAUGAUUCAUCCUUUAAAAUUGUAACAUGCAAAAUAACUGUGGUAAAACCUAGGAAUGAUAAAUAUUUCAGCAUAUGGCUUUCAAUCCUUGCAGAUCUUAGAACUUUCAGCCAAUUCUCAUUGCCCUACACAGGAAGAAAAAAAAGAGAGGGAGAGAGAAAAGGAAAUUAUGUUGGAGAGCAUAAACAUCCAGUGCCAGCCCACAGAUUAACAGAUCACAUCAUCAUUUUAGCUAGGGGCAUGUUUCAACUCAGUUUUAUUAAAUUUAGAACUUCCCACAAACGUUCCAGUCCAGCAUAACAUUUAAACAUAAGUCCACAGCUUGUGGAUUUAACACCCGAAAAGAAAUUCCUUGCUGAAAAGUAUGAUUGAUUGCGAAUAAUAUUGUUGGGAAGACUACAUAAAGAUCUUAUUAGACAGCAAACAUAGCAUCUAUGCAUCGACAGCAAA